CCUACGAGCGGCAGCAGUGAGGAAUAUUGGUCAAUGGGCGAAAGCCUGAACCAGCCACGUCGCGUGCGGGAUGACGGCCCUACGGGUCGUAAACCUCUUUUGCACGGGGAUCAAACCCUCCACUUGUCGCGGUCUGCAGGUAUCGUGCGAAUAAGGGUCGGCUAAUUCCGUGCCAGCAGCCGCGGUAAUACGGAAGCUCCGAGGUUUAUCCGGAUUCAUUGGGCUUAAGGGGUGCGUAGGCGGUCGGUCAAGACAGCGGUAACAUCGCGGGGUUAAACCGCGUCGCGCCGUUGAAACUGGAAGCCUUGAGUUCACAAGAGGUAGGCGGAAUGCGCGGUGUAGCGGUGAAAUGCAUAGAUAUCACGAGGAACCCCGAUUGCGAAGGCAGCGUACCGGGGCGCGACUGACGCUGAGGCUCGAAAGUGUGGGGAUCAAACAGGAUUAGAUACCCUGGUAGUC
rnacentral:rRNA from 1 species